CUAAAUGAAAGCGCUUCAAUCUUCUUAGUAGCGAGGAGGAGUGACGGUGGUCUAUAUCGGUGUAUGCGGGACGCCGAGGUGGAGAUGCGGCUGAUGUUGGGCAACAUGCGCAGCAGCUUCCACGUCUCCAGGAGGAGCUGCAGGACGUAGCGCGAGUGCAGCUGCUACGGGGAGAGAGACAAGCGUCAAGCAGGCGAUGUGCGCGUUUCCAUUCCUGUCCACCUGAAAAUACUGCAAAAUGCUGCUUGAAUGUUGCCUUUUGUGCAAAAUCGGACUAUGACGUUCAGCCAUCGGCGCCAGCGUGGUCUACAAAAGAUUCCAGCAUGCCACCUGCUCGCUGACUGCUUCUCACCUUGAUCUGAGCCUGCUCUCCUGAGUAUUCGAUGGACUGGAAGAUGUGCCAGGUGUACCUCCGCCUCAUCUCCAUGCGGGCCACAUACUGACGGUACCACUGCUGGAUCAGGAUGGCCGCCCUUAUGGCUGCAACAAAAACACACCAUCAGGAAAUAUUAUUCAUCUUUCUCCUUUUAAUAGUCCUCAAGGACAACAACAACAAGUAGUAACUCCCCACUGGCUGCAGAUGCUUUGGGUUCUGACACAUUUACAGCUACAAUACAUUCAGCUACAGUCAUUUUUGUAUUCAAUUGUUGUGGCAAAUUUCUGAUACCCAAAAAUUGAAAAUCAAUAGAAAUGUAAAUAAGUUUGUUUACUGUUUGUUAAUGACACAAUUAUUAAUGAAUUAAUCCAAACAGGGGAAAAAAAUCCCUUUUUUAAAAAUUUUGAAAUGUAUUUUUUCUAUAUAUUUUGGCAGACAAAAAAUAAAAUAAAAAAUAAUAAUAAUUAUUAUUUUUUUAAAUUUAUUAUUAAUUUUACUGUCAAUUCAACAGUAUGAAAUCUGCAGGUGUUGACUGUAUCCCCCCAUACUGUGAUUUACACCAUAAAUAC